rnacentral:rRNA from 1 species
UACCAGCACCCCGAGUGGUCGGGACGUUUAUUGGGCCUAAAGCGUCCGUAGCCGGUCCUGCAAGUCCUCCGUUAAAUCCACCCGCUCAACGGUUGGGCCGCGGGGGAUACUACAGGGCUAGGAGGCGGGAGAGGCAAGCGGUACUCGAUGGGUAGGGGUAAAAUCCACUGAUCCAUUGAAGACCACCAGUGGCGAAGGCGGCCUGCCAGAACGCGCUCGACGGUGAGGGAUGAAAGCUGGGGGAGCAAACCGG